rnacentral:rRNA from 1 species
GGUUAAGUGAAUAAGGGCGCACGGUGGAUGCCUUGGCACUAGGAGCCGAUGAAGGACGGGACUAACACCGAUAUGCUUUGGGGAGCUGUAAGUAAGCUAUGAUCCAGAGAUUUCCGAAUGGGGGAACCCAAUAUCUUUUAUAGGAUAUUACUUUUCAGUGAAUACAUAGCUGAUUAGAGGUAGACGCAGAGAACUGAAACAUCUUAGUACCUGCAGGAAGAGAAAGAAAAUUCGAUUCCCUGAGUAGCGGCGAGCGAAACGGGAAGAGCCCAAACCAACAAGCUUGCUUGUUGGGGUUGUAGGACUCCAAUAUGGUAGUCUGUUAGUAUAGUUGAAGGAUUUGGAAAAUUCCGCUAAAGAGGGUGAAAGCCCCGUAGACGAAAUGCUGACAACACCUAGGAGGAUCCUGAGUACGGCGGAACACGAGAAAUUCCGUCGGAAUCCGCGGGGACCAUCCCGCAAGGCUAAAUACUCCCUAGUGACCGAUAGUGAACCAGUACCGUGAGGGAAAGGUGAAAAGCACCCCGGAAGGGGAGUGAAAUAGAUCCUGAAACCGUGUGCCUACAACAAGUCAAAGCUCGUUAAUGAGUGAUGGCGUGCCUUUUGUAGAAUGAACCGGCGAGUUACGAUUGCAUGCGAGGUUAAGUCGAAGAGACGGAGCCGCAGCGAAAGCGAGUCUGAAUAGGGCGAAUGAGUAUGUAGUCGUAGACCCGAAACCAUGUGAUCUACCCAUGUCCAGGUUGAAGGUGCGGUAAAACGCACUGGAGGACCGAACCCACGUACGUUGAAAAGUGCGGGGAUGAGGUGUGGGUAGCGGAGAAAUUCCAAACGAACUUGGAGAUAGCUGGUUCUCUCCGAAAUAGCUUUAGGGCUAGCCUCGGAAUUGAGAAUGAUGGAGGUAGAGCACUGUUUGGACUAGGGGCCCAUCUCGGGUUACCGAAUUCAGAUAAACUCCGAAUGCCAUUCAUUUAUAUCCGGGAGUCAGACUGCGAGUGAUAAGAUCCGUAGUCGAAAGGGAAACAGCCCAGACCACCAGCUAAGGUCCCAAAAUAUAUGUUAAGUGGAAAAGGAUGUGGGGUUGCACAGACAACUAGGAUGUUGGCUUAGAAGCAGCCACCAUUUAAAGAGUGCGUAAUAGCUCACUAGUCGAGUGACCCUGCGCCGAAAAUGUACCGGGGCUAAACAUAUUACCGAAGCUGUGGACUACACCAUUAGGUGUAGUGGUAGGAGAGCGUUCUAAGGGCGUUGAAGGUCGAUCGUGAGGACGGCUGGAGCGCUUAGAAGUGAGAAUGCCGGUAUGAGUAGCGAAAGACAGGUGAGAAUCCUGUCCACCGUAUGACUAAGGUUUCCUGGGGAAGGCUCGUCCGCCCAGGGUUAGUCGGGACCUAAGCCGAGGCCGAUAGGCGUAGGCGAUGGACAACAGGUUGAUAUUCCUGUACCAGUUGUUUUUGUUUGAGCAAUGGAGGGACGCAGUAGGCUAAGGAAUGCAUGCGAUUGGAAGUGCAUGUCCAAGCAAUGAGUCUUGAGUAGAGUUAAAUGCUUUACUCUUUAAGGACAAGUUGUGACGGGGAGCGAAAUAAUAGUAGCGAAGUUCCUGAUGUCACACUGCCAAGAAAAGCUUCUAGUGAGAAAACAACUGCCCGUACCGUAAACCGACACAGGUAGUCGAGGAGAGUAUCCUAAGGUGAGCGAGCGAACUCUCGUUAAGGAACUCGGCAAAAUGACCCCGUAACUUCGGGAGAAGGGGUGCUGACUUCGGUCAGCCGCAGUGAAUAGGCCCAAGCGACUGUUUAUCAAAAACACAGGUCUCUGCAAAAUCGUAAGAUGAAGUAUAGGGGCUGACGCCUGCCCGGUGCUGGAAGGUUAAGAGGAUGGGUUAGCUUCGGCGAAGCUCAGAAUUGAAGCCCCAGUAAACGGCGGCCGUAACUAUAACGGUCCUAAGGUAGCGAAAUUCCUUGUCGGGUAAGUUCCGACCCGCACGAAAGGCGUAACGAUUUGGGCACUGUCUCAACG